rnacentral:rRNA from 1 species
AUUGAACGCCGGCGGCAGCCCUAACACAUCCAAGUCGAGCGGAGCGGGGGACGGGUGAGUAAUGCCUGGGAGUCUACCUGGUAGUGGGGGAUCACGUCCGGAAACGGGCGCUAAUACCGCAUAAUAUCAGCUGUGCCUAGGUCGGAUUAGCUAGGUGGUGGGGUAAAGACCUACAAAGGCGACGAUCCGUAACUGGUCUGAGAGGAUGAUCAGGCACACGGGAACUGAGACACGGUCCAGACUCCUACGGGAGGCAGCAGUGGGGAAUAUUGGACAAUGGGCGAAAGCCGGAUCCAGCCAUGCCGCUUGUGUGAAGAAGUUCUUCGGAUUGGAAAGCACUUUAAGUUGGGAGGCGGUACCAACAGAAUAAGCACCGGCUAACUUCGUGCCAGCAGCCGCGGUAAUUC